rnacentral:rRNA from 1 species
UGGGGAAUAUUGCACAAUGGGCGAAAGCCUGAUGCAGCGACGCCGCGUGAGGGAUGACGGCCUUCGGGUUGUAAACCUCUUUCAGUAGGGACGAAUCGCAAGUGACGGUACCUGCAGAAGAAGCACCGGCUAACUACGUGCCAGCAGCCGCGGUAAUACGUAGGGUGCGAGCGGUGUCCGGAAUUACUGGGCGUAAAGAGCUUGUAGGCGGUUUGUUACGUCGUCUGUGAAAUCCUAGGGCUUAACCCUGGACGUGCAGGCGAUACGGGCUGACUUGAGUACUACAGGGGAGACUGGAAUUUCUGGUGUAGCGGUGGAAUGCACAGAUAUCAGGAAGAACACCGAUGGCGAAGGCAGGUCUCUGGGUAGUAACUGACGCUGAGGAGCGAAAGCAUGGGUAGCGAACAGG